rnacentral:rRNA from 1 species
UACGAAGGGGGCUAGCGUUGCUCGGAAUCACUGGGCGUAAAGGGUGCGUAGGCGGGGCUUUAAGUCAGGGGUGAAAUCCUGGAGCUCAACUCCAGAACUGCCUUUGAUACUGGCGAGCUUGAGUUCGGGAGAGGUGAGUGGAACUGCGAGUGUAGAGGUGAAAUUCGUAGAUAUUCGCAAGAACCCCAGUGGCGAAGGCGGCUCACUGGCCCGAUACUGACGCUGAGGUGCGAAAGCGUGGGGAGCAAACAGG